rnacentral:rRNA from 1 species
GAUGAACGCUGGCGGCGUGCCUAACACAUGCAAGUCGAGCGAACAGACGAGGAUCUUUCUCCUCUGACGUUAGGGGCGGAUGGGUGAUUAACACGUGGGUAACCUACUUAUAAGACUGGGUUAACUUCGGGAUACCUGAUCUAACACCGGAUCAUAUAUUGAACCGGAUGGUUCAAUAGUCAAAGACGGUUUUGCUGUCACUAUUAGAUGGUUGGACGUCGGUGUAGCUAGUUGGUAGGGUAACGGCUUACCAAGGCUGCGAUGAGUAGCCGACCUGCGAGGACGAUCGGCCACACUGGGACGGAGACACGGCCCAGACUCCGACGGGAGGCAGCAGUGGGGAAUGUUGGACAAUGGGGGCAACCCUGAUCCAGCAAUGCCGCGUGGGUGAAGAAGGCCUUCGGGUUGUAAAGAACUUUUGUCCGGAAAGAAAUCGCGCUGGUUAAUACCUGGCGUGGAUGACGGUACCGGAAGAAUAAGCACCGGCUAACUACGUG